rnacentral:rRNA from 1 species
CCUACGGGUGGCAGCAGUGAGGAAUAUUGGUCAAUGGACGAGAGUCUGAACCAGCCAAGUAGCGUGAAGGAUGACUGCCCUACGGGUUGUAAACUUCUUUUAUAUGGGAAUAAAACGUUCCACGUGUGGGAUUUUGUAUGUACCAUAUGAAUAAGGAUCGGCUAACUCCGUGCCAGCAGCCGCGGUAAUACGGAGGAUCCGAGCGUUAUCCGGAUUUAUUGGGUUUAAAGGGAGCGUAGGUGGAUUGUUAAGUCAGUUGUGAAAGUUUGCGGCUCAACCGUAAAAUUGCAGUUGAAACUGGCAGUCUUGAGUACAGUAGAGGUGGGCGGAAUGCGUGGUGUAGCGGUGAAAUGCUUAGAUAUCACGAAGAACUCCGAUUGCGAAGGCAGUUCACUGGACUGCAACUGACACUGAGGCUCGAAAGUGUGGGUAUCAAACAGGAUUAGAUACCCCUGUAGUC